ACCUUCUCAGGGUUGCACCUGGAGAGUGUCUACUCUACCAGUCUCGACUACGGGAGGGAGAGACAAGCAGAUGCAUAUCCAUUCCAUUCCUAGCUUGGCCAGUGGCUAGCAAAUGGAAGGCAAUCUGCUACAAAU